CUACGGGGUGCUGCAGUGGGGAAUAUUGCACAAUGGACGAAAGUCUGAUGCAGCAACGCCGCGUGGAGGAUGACACAUUUCGGUGCGUAAACUCCUUUUAUAUAGGAAGAUAAUGACGGUACUAUAUGAAUAAGCGCCGGCUAACUCCGUGCCAGCAGCCGCGGUAAUACGGAGGGCGCAAGCGUUACUCGGAAUCACUGGGCGUAAAGAGCGUGUAGGCGGAUAGAUAAGUCAGGAGUGAAAUCCUAUGGCUCAACCAUAGAACUGCUCUUGAAACUGUCUAUCUAGAAUAUGGGAGAGGUAGAUGGAAUUUCUGGUGUAGGGGUAAAAUCCGUAGAGAUCAGAAGGAAUACCGAUUGCGAAGGCGAUCUACUGGAACAUUAUUGACGCUGAGACGCGAAAGCGUGGGGAGCAAACAGGAUUAGAUACCCUAGUAGUC
rnacentral:rRNA from 1 species